UAAGCCUGUGAAGGUGUGUCGUGAGGCAUGCUGGAGGUAUCAGAAGUGCGAAUGCUGACAUAAGUAACGAUAAAGCGGGUGAAAAGCCCGCUCGCCGGAAGACCAAGGGUUCCUGUCCAACGUUAAUCGGGGCAGGGUGAGUCGACCCCUAAGGCGAGGCCGAAAGGCGUAGUCGAUGGGAAACGGGUUAAUAUUCCCGUACUUGGUGUUACUGCGAAGGGGGGACGGAGAAGGCUAUGUUGGCCGGGCGACGGUUGUCCCGGUUUAAGCGUGUAGGUGUGUGUUCCAGGUAAAUCCGGUUCACUUUAACACUGAGGCGUGACGACGAGGCACUACGGUGCUGAAGCAACAAAUGCCCUGCUUCCAGGAAAAGCCUCUAAGCAUCAGGUAACAUCAAAUCGUACCCCAAACCGACACAGGUGGUCAGGUAGAGAAUACCAAGGCGCUUGAGAGAACUCGGGUGAAGGAACUAGGCAAAAUGGUGCCGUAACUUCGGGAGAAGGCACGCUGACACGUAGGUGAAGUGAUUUACUCAUGGAGCUGAAGUCAGUCGAAGAUACCAGCUGGCUGCAACUGUUUAUUAAAAACACAGCACUGUGCAAACACGAAAGUGGACGUAUACGGUGUGACGCCUGCCCGGUGCCGGAAGGUUAAUUGAUGGGGUCAGCGCAAGCGAAGCUCCUGAUCGAAGCCCCGGUAAACGGCGGCCGUAACUAUAACGGUCCUAAGGUAGCGAAAUUCCUUGUCGGGUAAGUUCCGACCUGCACGAAUGGCGUAAUGAUGGCCAGGCUGUCUCCACCCGAGACUCAGUGAAAUUGAACUCGCUGUGAAGAUGCAGUGUACCCGCGGCAAGACGGAAAGACCCCGUGAACCUUUACUAUAGCUUGACACUGAACAUUGAGCCUUGAUGUGUAGGAUAGGUGGGAGGCUUUGAAGUGUGGACGCCAGUCUGCAUGGAGCCGACCUUGAAAUACCACCCUUUAAUGUUUGAUGUUCUAACGUGGACCCGUGAUCCGGGUUGCGGACAGUGUCUGGUGGGUAGUUUGACUGGGGCGGUCUCCUCCUAAAGAGUAACGGAGGAGCACGAAGGUUGGCUAAUCCUGGUCGGACAUCAGGAGG
rnacentral:rRNA from 1 species